GCCGAGAUCACGCCACUGCACUCCAGCCUGGGUAACAGAGCAAGACUCCAUCUCAAAAAAAUAAAAAUAAAAAAUAAAAAAAUAAGUUCCUGUCAUUAUAAAAUUUAUAUUGUAAUGGAAAAGAUAAUAUUUUUAAAACAACAAACUAUACACUGUAGUAAAUACUAAGAAGAAAAUGAAAAUAUUUGAAAGAAUGAUUAGUCAUUUCAAGCUUAAACAAUGAGAAAUAUUUUGUGUAUUGUUUCUUAUUCUAAAGUUUUAUUUAAACUUGCCAUAUGCAUCUUCACAUUACUAUUAAGAAAGCCACUUAGAUCCUCCCACCUUAACUGCCUGAGUAGUUGGGACAACAGGCAUGCACCACCAUGCCCAGAUAAUUUUUUUUUAAUAUUUUGUAAAGAUGGGGAUUCCCUAUAUUGUCCAGAAUGGUCUUGAACUCCUGGCUUUAUGCAGUCUUUCCACCUCAGCCUCCCAAAGUUCUGGGUUACAGGUGUGAGCCACUGCGCCGGGCCAAUUUUGGUUUUUCAUGGAGGACUUUUAGCAGGUCUCAAAAGUUUUCUUCUAAUAGUUUUCUUGGUGUUCUAUCAUUCAUAGGUGUUGAAUUUAUCAAACUUUUUCUAUUUCAAUUAUUACAUUUUUACUUUGUUCAAGUAAUAUUGUAUCAUAUUAAACAAACAUUGCAUUGUGAAAAAUACCCUGCUUAGUCAUGGUAUGUAAUCAUUCUUAUACCUUUUUGUAUUCUUUUUUUAAAUAUUUCUGAGAAUUUCUGUGUCUAAAUUUAAAUAGGAUGUUGUUUCAUAGUCAUCUUGUGAUUCUUUUGUCUCCUUUGGGUAUUAUGGUAUUACUGGCUAACAGAUGAAUUAAGAAAUAUUACCUCUUCUACUGCUUGAAGUUUUUGUGAGAAAUUGAUGUUUU
rnacentral:lncRNA from 1 species